GUGCGUCUCCGUCUCCGCAGGUCAGCUCCGCCGAAGGCGCCGCCAAGGAAGAGCCCAAGAGGAGAUCGGCGCGGUUGUCAGCUAAACCUCCUGCAAAAGUGGAAGCGAAGCCGAAAAAGGCAGCAGCGAAGUGUAGGUAGAAGUUUAGCACUGCAGUCAUCAGAAGAGGCAAGAUUAAUUUCCUUGACAUUGAGGAGUUGUUGGAUAAUUACUAAAUUUGUCCUUGUUAAAUAAAGAUUCUUCAAACACCUAAAUGAAAGUGAUAAAUUCAAAACUGAUCCUUUUAGUUCCUCAUUAUAUGAUAUGAAGGGAUUAACUGUAGCAGGAUAGUCAACCUGACCGUACGGCAUGGUGCUUUUUUUCAGGAUAAAUCUUCAGACAAAAAAGUGCAAACAAAAGGGAAAAGGGGAGCAAAGGGAAAACAGGCCGAAGUGGCUAACCAAGAAACUAAAGAAGACUUACCUGCGGAAAACGGGGAAACGAAGACUGAGGAGAGUCCAGCCUCUGAUGAAGCAGGAGAGAAAGAAGCCAAGUCUGAUUAAUAACCAUAUACCAUGUCUUAUCAGUGGUCCCUGUCUCCCUUCUUGUACAAUCCAGAGGAAUAUUUUUAUCAACUAUUUUGUAAAUGCAAGUUUUUUAGUAGCUCUAGAAACAUUUUUAAGAAGGAGGGAAUCCCACCUCAUCCCAUUUUUUAAGUGUAAAUGCUUUUUUUUAAGAGGUGAAAUCAUUUGCUGGUUGUUUAUUU
rnacentral:lncRNA from 1 species